CAAGUCGAGCGGAAACGAGUUAUCUGAACCUUCGGGGAACGAUAACGGCGUCGAGCGGCGGACGGGUGAGUAAUGCCUAGGAAAUUGCCCUGAUGUGGGGGAUAACCAUUGGAAACGAUGGCUAAUACCGCAUAAUGCCUACGGGCCAAAGAGGGGGACCUUCGGGCCUCUCGCGUCAGGAUAUGCCUAGGUGGGAUUAGCUAGUUGGUGAGGUAAUGGCUCACCAAGGCGACGAUCCCUAGCUGGUCUGAGAGGAUGAUCAGCCACACUGGAACUGAGACACGGUCCAGACUCCUACGGGAGGCAGCAGUGGGGAAUAUUGCACAAUGGGCGCAAGCCUGAUGCAGCCAUGCCGCGUGUGUGAAGAAGGCCUUCGGGUUGUAAAGCACUUUCAGUCGUGAGGAAGGUAGUGUAGUUAAUAGCUGCAUUAUUUGACGUUAGCGACAGAAGAAGCACCGGCUAACUCCGUGCCAGCAGCCGCGGUAAUACGGAGGGUGCGAGCGUUAAUCGGAAUUACUGGGCGUAAAGCGCAUGCAGGUGGUUUGUUAAGUCAGAUGUGAAAGCCCGGGGCUCAACCUCGGAAUAGCAUUUGAAACUGGCAGACUAGAGUACUGUAGAGGGGGGUAGAAUUUCAGGUGUAGCGGUGAAAUGCGUAGAGAUCUGAAGGAAUACCGGUGGCGAAGGCGGCCCCCUGGACAGAUACUGACANUCAGAUGCGAAAGCGUGGGGAGCAAACAGGAUUAGAUACCCUGGUAGUCCACGCCGUAAACGAUGUCUACUUGGAGGUUGUGGCCUUGAGCCGUGGCUUUCGGAGCUAACGCGUUAAGUAGACCGCCUGGGGAGUACGGUCGCAAGAUUAAAACUCAAAUGAAUUGACGGGGGCCCGCACAAGCGGUGGAGCAUGUGGUUUAAUUCGAUGCAACGCGAAGAACCUUACCUACUCUUGACAUCCAGAGAACUUUNCAGAGANGGANUGGUGCCUUCGGGAACUCUGAGACAGGUGCUGCAUGGCUGUCGUCAGCUCGUGUUGUGAAAUGUUGGGUUAAGUCCCGCAACGAGCGCAACCCUUAUCCUUGUUUGCCAGCGAGUAAUGUCGGGAACUCCAGGGAGACUGCCGGUGAUAAACCGGAGGAAGGUGGGGACGACGUCAAGUCAUCAUGGCCCUUACGAGUAGGGCUACACACGUGCUACAAUGGCGCAUACAGAGGGCAGCAAGCUAGCGAUAGUGAGCGAAUCCCAAAAAGUGCGUCGUAGUCCGGAUUGGAGUCUGCAACUCGACUCCAUGAAGUCGGAAUCGCUAGUAAUCGUGGAUCAGAAUGCCACGGUGAAUACGUUCCCGGGCCUUGUACACACCGCCCGUCACACCA
rnacentral:rRNA from 1 species